UACGAAGGGGGCGAGCGUUGUUCGGAAUUACUGGGCGUAAAGGGCGCGUAGGCGGCCGAUCAAGUCAGAUGUGAAAGUCCUGGGCUUAACCUGGGGACUGCAUUUGAUACUGAUUGGCUUGAAUUCGGGAGAGGAUAGCGGAAUUCCCAGUGUAGAGGUGAAAUUCGUAGAUAUUGGGAAGAACACCGGUGGCGAAGGCGGCUAUCUGGACAGUGACUGACGCUGAGACGCGAAAGCGUGGGGAGCAAACAGG
rnacentral:rRNA from 1 species